GUGCCAGCAGCCGCGGUAAUACGUAGGUGGCAAGCGUUAUCCGGAAUUAUUGGGCGUAAAGCGCGCGUAGGCGGUUUUUUAAGUCUGAUGUGAAAGCCCACGGCUCAACCGUGGAGGGUCAUUGGAAACUGGAAAACUUGAGUGCAGAAGAGGAAAGUGGAAUUCCAUGUGUAGCGGUGAAAUGCGCAGAGAUAUGGAGGAACACCAGUGGCGAAGGCGACUUUCUGGUCUGUAACUGACGCUGAUGUGCGAAAGCG
rnacentral:rRNA from 1 species